rnacentral:rRNA from 1 species
GACGAACGCUGGCGGCGUGCUUAACACAUGCAAGUCGAACGAUGAACCAUUUCGGUGGGGAUUAGUGGCGAACGGGUGAGUAACACGUGGGCAAUCUGCCCUGCACUCUGGGACAAGCCCUGGAAACGGGGUCUAAUACCGGAUGAUAUCUACUCUCGCAUGGGGUGGGUUGAAAGCUCCGGCGGUGCAGGAUGAGCCCGCGGCCUAUCAGCUUGUUGGUGGGGUGAUGGCCUACCAAGGCGACGACGGGUAGCCGGCCUGAGAGGGCGACCGGCCACACUGGGACUGAGACACGGCCCAGACUCCUACGGGAGGCAGCAGCGGGGAAUAUUGCACAAUGGGCGGAAGCCUGAUGCAGCGACGCCGCGUGA